rnacentral:rRNA from 1 species
GGGGAAUAUUGGACAAUGGGCGCAAGCCUGAUCCAGCCAUGCCGCGUGAGUGAUGACGGCCUUAGGGUUGUAAAGCUCUUUCGACGGGGACGAUAAUGACGGUACCCGUAGAAGAAGCCCCGGCUAACUUCGUGCCAGCAGCCGCGGUAAUACGAAGGGGGCAAGCGUUGUUCGGAAUUACUGGGCGUAAAGGGCGCGUAGGCGGACACUUAAGUCAGGGGUGAAAUCCCGGGGCUCAACCCCGGAACUGCCCUUGAUACUGGGUGUCUUGAGACCGGAAGAGGUAAGUGGAACUGCGAGUGUAGAGGUGAAAUUCGUAGAUAUUCGCAAGAACACCAGUGGCGAAGGCGGCUUACUGGUCCGGUUCUGACGCUGAGGCGCGAAAGCGUGGGGAGCAAAC